UACACAAACAAAGAGGCGUUAGGCUGAGACGCUGAAAGUCCGGAUUUAAAGUGCAGAAAAUUAAGCCAUUGAAUCUGCCUGUCCAUGACGUACAAAGACACACUAUGAGCCAGUAUGAUCCGACCAGACCUUACAUCAGCAUUGAGGAGUUGUCGGAGAAGAAAGAGGCUGAUUGAAGCGGGACAGAUGACAUGGAUCCAUCCUUCCACAGCCAGGAGCGCACCGACCUGUGUCCCACACUUCAUAUAAGACUGGAAGCUACACUGAUCUCACAGCUACACACCACAGACGUCUACACACUGGAGAAGAGUCCCACAAAGAAGUCAUGACCCAGAGGCUGCAGAGAAACAUUUCAAGCCUCAUCUGAGUUUUUGUACAAUAUUUUUGCUGUAUGUAAAUAAAGCUUUCACUCCACAUA